rnacentral:lncRNA from 1 species
CGGUUAUGUGCCACGAUGCUUCAAAUCCAUUUUCAUGAAUUUACGAUAUCGCCUCGGCCCUCCCGGCGGACCCGAAGCCUAAACGUCCAUUUCUUUAAUAACUUUGUAACGGCUCGUCGGAUUGCCGAACCGUCUUCGCCAACGCGUUCGUUUACCUAGCAAUUUGGUUUACGGAGGGUCAAAUGAGAUCAAACCCUCAUAUUUUGAAAGUUUGCAUUUUGAGCCCUAGGUUUACAACUAUGCAAGAAAUCAUUAAAUUGCUCUAUGAUUCAAGCAUUAAUCAUCUAUUAGGCAUCAAUGGGUUCCACUAAAACCAUUUCCAAAGCAUUUAGACCUAUCUUUAGAGAUCUACCAUUAAAGCCCUCAUUUUGGAGCUCUAGGUUUCAAUAGGUAAAAAUCCACCAUUAGAGCCUUGAUUUCAAGCAUCAAACCUCUAAUUAGCAUGCUAGAAUACCUCUAAAUCCAUUCUUAGAGCUUAAAAACCAAACUAGAGAGAAAUGCCAUUAAAGGGUUUGAAGCUUACCUUCAAAGCUUGCUCUAAUGGAGAGGAAGAAGAUAGAGAAGAUGAAAAUCCAUCCUUGAGCUUCAAUCUCCACCAAAACCCUCUCUUUUUGGGAGAGAUUUAGAGAGAGAAAGGGAGAUCUCUCUCUCCCUCCAUGUAUGCGUGUGUGUGUGUGUCGUGUGCGUGUGUGGUGUGCGGCCGAAGGAGAAGAAGAAGCAACAGCUUCUUAAUAAUACCCCCAAGACACUAUUCACUCUCGGGCAGCUUGAAAUCUGAUAACUUUCGCCGGAGCUCCCUGAAUGUCCGUUUGAGCUCAAACUUGACAGUCAUGUUCGGUUUUACUUAACUUAACAAGCUGACGAUCGCUGGUUCAGUUUCGACCCCGUUUGGUCACUGAAAACUGUACCGAACUGUAAUCUUUAUCAGAUAGCUGUCGGAUUUUAUUUCUCACUCUACGGGUGUCAGAAAAAUAUGAAACCUUAAAUCUAGCCUCAUAAAAAUAUUUCUGACAUCUCUGCCAAUUUUCAUAAUUUUCUGAGACUGUGCAUUUUCUGCUAAUUUAUCUGUCCCGUUUCCAACAGAAAAUUCUAAAUCUUCUGUUUUCAUUCCGAUUUCGGCACAAGUCACUUCUGAUUUAUGUUUUACUUCUAUAAAUCCAAUAAAAAUAG